rnacentral:sRNA from 1 species
UCUCAUUCAUUAUUAUUGGUGUAUAUGUUCUGGUGACGACCAGACUGAACCAUAUUAACUUAAGCUUAUCCUCCGCAAAAGCAAAUAAUCAACAGCAAACAU